rnacentral:rRNA from 1 species
GUAGGGGGCGAGCGUUGUCCGGAUUCAUUGGGCGUAAAGAGCGUGUAGGCGGCCAGGUAGGUCGGAUGUGAAAACUCGAGGCUCAACCUCGAGAGGUCAUCCGAAACCAUUUGGCUAGAGUCCGGAAGAGGAGAGUGGAAUUCCUGGUGUAGCGGUGAAAUGCGCAGAUAUCAGGAAGAACACCGAUGGCGAAGGCAGCUCUCUGGUACGGUACUGACGCUGAGACGCGAAAGCGUGGGGAGCGAACAGGAUUAGAUACCCUGGUAGUCCACGCCGUAAACGAUGGGCGCUAGGUGUGGGCGGUGUCGACUCCGUCCGUGCCGCAGCUAACGCAUUAAGCGCCCCGCCUGGGGAGUACGGCCGCAAGGCUAAA